GGAGAGGUGACCGAGUGGUUGAAGGUGCCAACCUGGAACGUUGGUUUAGUGGUGACGCUAACGAGGGUUCGAAUCCCUCUCUCUCCG
rnacentral:tRNA from 1 species